rnacentral:rRNA from 1 species
AUACGUAGGUGACAAGCGUUAUCCGGAUUUACUGGGCGUAAAGGGCGUGUAGGCGGUCUUGCAAGUCAGAAGUGAAAUUCCUGAGCUCAACUCGGGCGCUGCUUCUGAAACUGCAGGACUUGAGUGCUGGAGGGGAUAGCGGAAUUCCUAGUGGAGCGGUAAAAUGCGCAGAUAUUAGGAAGAACACCGGUGGCGAAGGCGGCUAUCUGGACAGUAACUGACGCUGAGGCGCGAAAGCGUGGGGAGCAAACAGGAUUAGAUACCCUGGUAGUCCACGCGGUAAACGAUGAAUGCUAGGUGUUGCGGGUAUCGACCCCUGCAGUGCCGGAGUAAACACAAUAAGCAUUCCGCCUGGGGAGUACGGCCGCAAGGUUGAAACUCAAAUGAAUUGGCGGGG